rnacentral:lncRNA from 1 species
AAACUGUUUAGUAAUACAUAAUUAUUAUAAAUAUAAUAAUAUGAUAUUUGCAUAGUAGGAGAUAUAGGUAAUUAAAAUUACAACAGUUAUAAUUUAUCUGUAUUUUAUUUGGUUGUUUGCUAUUGAGAAACAUAUUUAUAAAGUUUUAUCACUUUACAUAUAAAAUGGUAGUGUCGGUCUCUAUUUAUGUAAAAAAGGAAAAAAAAAAGAAAAAAUUCCUAUUUAACUGUUUUACUACUUUAUCAAUCGCUUCUCUCACUCUUUUUUUAUUUUAACUACUAGGUGUUGAGUCUCUUAGUACUGUUCUAACUACAGCAGUUGUAUCUAAAUGCAUCAAAUUAAAUAAAUUUUUGGACUCUUUGAUUUG